rnacentral:tRNA from 1 species
AGUGAAUUGCCUGAUAAAAGGAUUACCUUGAUAGGGUAAAUCAUGUAAACAUUUUACAUUCAUUA